UACGUAGGGGGCGAGCGUUGUCCGGAUUUAUUGGGCGUAAAGAGCGUGUAGGCGGCCAGGUAGGUCUGCUGUGAAAACUCGAGGCUCAACCUCGAGACGUCGGCGGAAACCAUCUGGCUAGAGUCCGGAAGAGGAGAGUGGAAUUCCUGGUGUAGCGGUGAAAUGCGCAGAUAUCAGGAAGAACACCCGUGGCGAAGGCGGCUCUCUGGUACGUGACUGACGCUGAGACGCGAAAGCGUGGGGAGCGAACAGG
rnacentral:rRNA from 1 species